GAAGGAGGCUGGCUAGCAACAAGGGCUGCUACCCUUUGUGUCACAGGUUGAACCCCUAUGCUCCAUCG
rnacentral:tRNA from 1 species